rnacentral:tRNA from 1 species
GGAGAAGUGGAUGAGCGGCUUAAAUCGCUCCCCUGCUAAGGGAGUAAACCGGAAGGUUUCGAGAGUUCGAAUCUCUCCUUCUCCGCCA